GGUAUGUUCUCACUGUCCCACCAAGGCGUAAUGUUUGACUGACUGGUAAGAACCAGGUGACAGAAGCUUCUGUGGCUGUUGUGUUACAGGCGUGUCUGCAGGGACGACCUCACCAACUCCUACCUUGGAUGCUGCACAAAAGGCCAGCUCCCAUGGCAGGGGUCCUCUGUCAGGAAAGACCAAAGACAUGGCAGGCAGGAAAUUCCAGGACCCAUUAGAAAUCAUGUGGCAAAUGCUGAAGGAACGUCUGCAGAGAAGACAAGAAAUGAAAGGAGAGCCUGCGGAGAAAGAAGCAUUUCCCGGAGGAAGCAGUGGUUGCAUGCCAGCCUCAGCUCCAGGAAGGGAGGCCAUGCCAGGCACAGGCACAGGAGAUGAGGGUGCUGGGAAGGCUUCUCCAUCAGCUUGGAUGAAGAAAGUUUUGAAGCCCUUGGAGCCUCCUGCAGAUGUGUCUACAGGGAAGACUUCUCCAGCUUCUCCAGCUGCUACCUUGGAUGCUGCACUCAAGCCCAGCUCCCAUCUCAGGGGUG